GGAGGGAGGGGCGCUGGUUUGACAUGAAUAAGGCUAAGGAAGAACAGAGAAGAAAGAAAGAAAAGCUUCUACUAGCAUUUACGCUUCCCUGCAUCAGUUAGUAUCAAAAAGUGGGCUCGAGUCCUGAUCAUGGCGCUAAGAGAAGCACCAUGUGGUCAAUAUGUCGCUGUUAAGAAGGUGUAUGAACAAGACCUUUCAACACGAGAGGCCCAAAUAGAGGAGAGAUUUCAACAUUUGGAGAGAAAAAGGUAAAAGAGUGAGAGUUACUCAUGAGACAAAUAUCUAAAUCUAAGUUUUUAGUUCAAUCUUACUCUUGUCCAGAGUUAAAAAAGUUAUCACCAGAAUGGGAUGAAUCUCAUAGUUCACAGAAUGACAUAAUUGAGAGGAAUGUGCUUGACAUGAUGAGACCUUUCAAAUUGUUGGAACGACUCACCAUUCGUGGUUAUGGCAGUACAAAAUUUCCAAACUGGGUUGGAGAUGUUUAAUUCUCUAAAAUGGUGUUCAUGUGGUUAAAAGGUAAUAAAUAUUGCACAUCUUUGCCACCACUUGGACAACUACCCUUGCUUAAAGACCUUUACAUUAAAGAAAUGAGUGCAAUAAAGCACUUGGGUUGUGAGUUCUAUGGGUAGCAGCAUGGUGCCAAACCUUUUCCUUUUCCAGAGACACUAAGCUUUGUAGAUGUG